AAUUCAGUUUGGCGGAGAAAAACGCUAUGGGCCUCUCGUUCUGCUCGUCAUCCCGUUGGAAGAGUACGCCUCCUACCCCAUAAUGUAAGGCGUCGCACUGUAUGUAGAAGUGCCGCUUGAAAUCCGCGUGUACCAGGACUGGUGCCGAGGGCGUCUGUGAGCGGACCGGUCAUCUCAGCAUAGUUUUUCAUAAAGCGCCGGUACCAGCCCGCAGUUCCCAGGAAACUACGCAAUUCUCGAACAGAUCGCGGCUCGGGAAUGCGCUAAAUGGCCCACACACGAUCCGGAUCCAUCUUCAGCGCUCCUCCUCCCACUAUAAAUCCCAGACGCUCGGCAACCUGUCGCAGAAUCUUCACGUGCGUUUGGAAGUCCUAUAAUCAGCAAGUCGUCGAGUUACGCAUAGACGUUUGAACGCAUCUCAACCGGAAUCACCUUAUCGACCAGUCUACAUAGGCGUUGUGCGGCAUUGCAGAGGCCAAAGGGCAUCAUACGGAACUGGCCCCUUCUGUGAGCGUGAUUCGCCUGCUUGGAUCGCACCCCUCUUCACGUUUCCCGCGCAAUUCGGACAGGUUGGACAAUAUGCAUCGGGCUUUCCACACCGGUAGCAGAAAAUUCGCCUCUCCGAUGCCAUACAGUCCCU